rnacentral:rRNA from 1 species
GGUUAAGCGACUAAGCGUACACGGUGGAUGCCCUGGCAGUCAGAGGCGAUGAAGGACGUGCUAAUCUGCGAUAAGCGUCGGUAAGGUGAUAUGAACCGUUAUAACCGGCGAUUUCCGAAUGGGGAAACCCAGUGUGUUUCGACACACUAUCAUUAACUGAAUCCAUAGGUUAAUGAGGCGAACCGGGGGAACUGAAACAUCUAAGUACCCCGAGGAAAAGAAAUCAACCGAGAUUCCCCCAGUAGCGGCGAGCGAACGGGGAGCAGCCCAGAGCCUGAAUCAGUGUGUGUGUUAGUGGAAGCGUCUGGAAAGGCGCGCGAUACAGGGUGACAGCCCCGUACACAAAAAUGCACAUGCUGUGAGCUCGAUGAGUAGGGCGGGACACGUGGUAUC